AACGAACGCUGGCGGCAUGCCUAAUACAUGCAAGUCGAACGAUCCCUUCGGGGAUAGUGGCGCACGGGUGCGUAACGCGUGGGAAUCUGCCCUUGGGUUCGGAAUAACGUUUGGAAACGAACGCUAAUACCGGAUGAUGACGAAAGUCCAAAGAUUUAUCGCCCAAGGAUGAGCCCGCGUAGGAUUAGCUAGUUGGUAAGGUAAAGGCUUACCAAGGCGACGAUCCUUAGCUGGUCUGAGAGGAUGAUCAGCCACACUGGGACUGAGACACGGCCCAGACUCCUACGGGAGGCAGCAGUAGGGAAUAUUGGACAAUGGGGGCAACCCUGAUCCAGCAAUGCCGCGUGAGUGAUGAAGGCCUUAGGGUUGUAAAGCUCUUUUACCCGGGAUGAUAAUGACAGUACCGGGAGAAUAAGCCCCGGCUAACUUCGUGCCAGCCGCCGCCGUAAGAC
rnacentral:rRNA from 1 species